AUUGAACGCUGGCGGCAGGCCUAACACAUGCAAGUCGAGCGGAUGAAGAGAGCUUGCUCUCUGAUUCAGCGGCGGACGGGUGAGUAAUGACUAGGAAUCUGCCUGGUAGUGGGGGACAACGUUUCGAAAGGAACGCUAAUACCGCAUACGUCCUACGGGAGAAAGCAGGGGACCUUCGGGCCUUGCGCUAUCAGAUGAGCCUAGGUCGGAUUAGCUAGUUGGUGAGGUAAUGGCUCACCAAGGCGACGAUCCGUAACUGGUCUGAGAGGAUGAUCAGUCACACUGGAACUGAGACACGGUCCAGACUCCUACGGGAGGCAGCAGUGUGGAAUAUUUGACAAUGGGCGAAAGCCUGAUCCAGCCAUGCCGCGUGUGUGAAGAAGGUCUUCGGAUUGUAAAGCACUUUAAGUUGGGAGGAAGGGCAGUAAGUUAAUACCUUGCUGUUUUGACGUUACCGACAGAAUAAGCACCGGCUAACUCUGUGCCAGCAGCCGCAGUAAAAC
rnacentral:rRNA from 1 species